rnacentral:rRNA from 1 species
CCUACGGGUGGCAGCAGUGGGGAAUAUUGCACAAUGGGGGAAACCCUGAUGCAGCGACGCCGCGUGAGUGAAGAAGUACUUCUUUAUGUAAAGCUCUAUCAGCAGGGAAGAAAAUGACGGUACCUGAGUCAUAAUCCCCGGCUAACUACGUUCCAGCAGCCGAGGUUAUAAGUAGGGGGCAAGCGUUAUCCGGAUUUACUGGGUGUAAAGGGAGCGUAGACGGCAGUGCAAGUCUGGAGUGAGAGUGGGGGGCUCAACCCCCGGACUGCUCGGGAGACUGUACGGCUGGAGUGCAGGAGAGGUAAGUGGAAUACCUAGUGUAGCGGUGAAAUGCGUAGAUAUUAGGAGGAACACCAGUGGCGAAGGCGGCUUACUGGACUGUAACUGACGUUGAGGCACGAAAGCGUGGGGAGCAAACAGGAUUAGAUACCCCAGUAGUC